UUUAGCUGACCAGUACUAAUAGAGCGUUUGGCUUAUCUUUAAUAAAGCAU
rnacentral:rRNA from 1 species